rnacentral:rRNA from 1 species
UACGAGGGGGGCAAAUGUUGUUCGGAAUCACUGGGCGUAAAGGGCGCGUAGGCGGGUUUUUAAGUUGGAUGUUUAACCCCGGGGCCCAACCCCGGAUCGGCAUCCAAAACUGGAAAUCUUGAAUAGGGAAGAGGUCAGUGGAAUUGGAGGUGUAGCGGUGGAAUGCGUAGAGAUCUUCAAGAACACCAGUUGCGAAGGCGGCUGACUGGACCCAUAUUGACGCUGAGGCUCGAAAGCAUGGGGAGCAAACAGG